CGAUGCAACGCGAAGAACCUUACCAAGGCUUGACAUGAACCGGAAAGGCGUAGAAAUACGUCCCCCACUUGUGGUCGGUUUACAGGUGGUGCAUGGUUGUCGUCAGCUCGUGUCGUGAGAUGUUGGGUUAAGUCCCGCAACGAGCGCAACCCUCGUUCUAUGUUGCCAGCACGUGAUGGUGGGGACUCAUAGGAGACUGCCGGGGUCAACUCGGAGGAAGGUGGGGAUGACGUCAAAUCAUCAUGCCCCUUAUGUCUUGGGCUUCACGCAUGCUACAAUGGCCGGUACAAAGGGUUGCGAUACUGUGAGGUGGAGCUAAUCCCAAAAAGCCGGUCUCAGUUCGGAUUGGGGUCUGCAACUCGACCCCAUGAAGUCGGAGUCGCUAGUAAUCGCAGAUCAGCAACGCUGCGGUGAAUACGUUCCCGGGCCUUGUACACACCGCCCGUCAAGUCACGAAAGUUGGUAACACCCGAAGCCGGUGGCCUAACCCCU
rnacentral:rRNA from 1 species